rnacentral:rRNA from 1 species
UACGGAGGGGCUAGCGUUGUUCGGAAUUACUGGGCGUAAAGCGCACGUAGGCGGCUUGCAAGUUAGAGGUGAAAGCCCAGGGCUUAACCCUGGAAUUGCCUUUAAAACUGCAUCGCUAGAAUUGUGGAGAGGUAAGUGGAAGUUCCGAGUGGUAGAGGUGAAAUUCGUAGAUAUUCGGAAGAACACCAGUGGCGAAGGCGACUACUGGACACAUAUUGACGCUGAGGUGCGAAAGCGUGGGGAGCAAACA